rnacentral:rRNA from 1 species
CUACGGGAUGCAGCAGUUAGGAAUAUUCUGCAAUGCGCGCAAGCGUGACAGAUUGAGCCAGAGUGCGUUUCUAUUGAAAUGCUUUUGCUUAGUGUAAAAAGCUAGGCGAAUAAGGACUGGGUAAGACUAGUGCCAGCCGCCGCGGUAAUACUAGCGGUCCAAGUCGCAGCCAUUUUUAUUGGGUCUAAAACAUCCGUAGCUUGCUUGAUAAGUUUCUUGUGAAAUUUUGUAUCUCAAAUACAGAGCGUGCAAGAAGUACUGUUGAGCUAGAGACUGGAAGACGGAAGAAGUAUGUUCGAAGUACUAGUAAAAUGGGUUAAUCUCGGACAGACUAUCAAUAGCGAAGGCAUCUUUCGAGGACAGUUCUGACAGUAAGGGAUGAAGGCUAGGGGCGCAAAACGGAUUAGAUACCCCGGUAGUC